CGUUCUCUCCAAUGGCUGCAUUCUAACAGGGGUGGAGUUCCAUUGUGCCGAGAGCCGGGUUUUUCUGUAAGCUGUGUGGGCCUCUUCUACACCAGUGAGGAGGACGGCCAAGACGGCCCACUGCCGCAAGCACCGUGCACUACAGGAACCUGCAGAAAUACCUGACAGAGCUGGCAGAGGAGAGUCUGCUGGGGGCAAUGACACAGCAGCCAUCUUCAGAAUGACCUCAGCCACCUGUGACCUCGCACCUGUGCUUUCUGAUCAUCAGACUCUCACAAUGUGUUUGGAUUGGUUCUCUUGUUACCUUACCCGUAUAUAGUGUACACUUUAAAUGACGUAUAGCUGGGAUUAUGACACUUACCAAGCACUGCAAAUCUAUCGGUGUGCCGUGUAUUGUUCGCAUAAACAAGCGUGCAAGUGUUGUAGUAUUUGCAUGUGUGCAGACCAUCUUAAUUGAGUGAAUGCGAUGGUAAUGGUAACCGCUAUGCAUCAUGGGAUAGAAGUGAAAUAAGUGUGCAUAUUUAGCACACUUCUUUUCUGGUGCAUUAUGGGUAUUCGGUAUUGCACUAUAUAGGGAACCAGAUUUGUACACUCAAAUUUCGGACAGCACUACAAAAUAGUGACGCCACAAAUAGGGCACUAUAUCGGGCAUGACUAAGUCAACCAAUUGGAACACGGCAUCAGAGUGUGCUUGGUCUAUGAAAGGCUAUUACAAGACGGACUAAACUCAAAAUUGGGAAUGUUUUAAUAUUGGCAAAACCUUCUGGUCUAUUUACUGGACAAAGUGCUUAAGGGAGGAAAAACGUAAGAAUAUCUUAUUUGUCGUGAAUCUUUUACAAUAACAAAAGAUUCAUUUAUUUUAAGGGAUUCAUUGCCUUAAUUUUGUGCCUUAUAAGCAAUUUUGUAAUUUAUUUUAAAUGUGUACUAUGGCAUUGAAGCUCAACUCCAAAUAAUUACAAUUUCAAUCGAAUACUGACAAAAAAAAACUGCAGGGAGAUUUAAUCCAUCAGCGAUUAUUUAAUGUUCUCAUAUAUGUUGUGAAAAUAGUGGCGUUAUGAAUUUCAUUUUUAUGGAGAGAUAAUGCUAUGAAUCUUUGAAAAUAUAUGAUCCUAGCAAUUUGAUAACACAUUGUGAGUGGCAAAGAUGACUUGAAAUUAUAUUUUACAAAAUGGUUUUACUCAGUUGACGAAACUGAGAUCAGUUCUCAGGUUUUAUUGCAUUUGUUAAAAGCAAUUAAAUGUGGCAGCAUAGAUGUGUAUAUUAUAGUUCAAAACAUGGGCCUUCUCUUCUUAUUUCUUCAGUCCCUUUAUUUAGUUUACUGGAAUAACUCAUUUAUUUAAAUAAUUUAUUUAAAAAGAAUUCGGUUUUUUUUUGGUGUUGGCUCUUGAACUCGAAUCCCAAGAGGAUGUUUAUAAUGGUGUGUCCAUUAUUUGAACGCCUUAAGAGGAACUCAAACUGGACCAUGUGUUUAUUGAAAUUAACAAUGCUUCUAACAGAUGCGAUAGUAAACACCAUUUGUGUUUGAUUAUCUGUUUUAUACACUGUGAAUUCUGAUCCUUCAAUGCCAAAGAUCUUUUUCUGGGAAAACCUUUUCAUAUUAAUGUUUCUGAUGGAUAAAUAAAAUGACUUUAAUAAAUGUUUUAAAGAUG